UCAAAAGUGUCAAACACAAAUAUUAUAAAAACAUAUGUUGAAAAUAUCAUUUUUAUGUUCAAAAUUUCUCAAUUUUAUUUCCAUCUAUUAUGUUAAAUAUCUGUUUGUCCAGAUUAUAUUAAUAAAUAUAAAGACAUGUCAAAGUUAUGUUCAUCAAGGAUAAAAAAACAAAAUAAAAAGUCUCUUAAUUGUAGCUUAAAUGGUAG
rnacentral:lncRNA from 1 species